UAUUUAUUCUUACACUGUAAAAUGUAAUAGCUGAGCUUACUAAAAAGAUUAAGUAAACUUAACUUAUUUAAUUAAGUUUGUUAACCUUACUUAGUUUAACUAAGUAAUCCCAACUUUUUUCUAUGCAAACUCAAGUCAACUUGAUUAAACUUAACAGAUUAAUUUAGCUCAACUUAAAAUUUCAAGUAUUUUCAAAAAGGAUGACUGCACAGUAGGUGGCAGUAAUGCUCCCAAGGAGUAAGUGGUGGCUUAACUGAGUGGUUAACUGAAGAAGACGACAACAGCACAUGGUCGGAUAAGAGCAUGAGGAGCAGGAGCUUGUUUCUUUGAAGAGAGCGCAUACCCUUCAUGGAAAGUCAGUAACGUUACUGUGGAGUACAACCAAGUCGCAAGCAAAAACCUCAAGCAAGAAUUGUUCUCAUCCCUUGCUAAACAUUUUUGAGUAUCUAAUAAACAUCACUGAUGUCACUGCACGGUGGACAGUAGUUCUCGGUGGUCUUGCUAUCCUUCUCGCGGAAGACACUACAGACUUCCUGAAAACAAACAUGGACUGUGAUGGUGACCCACCUCAACUAUCAAUAGGAAUUCUCAGUCUGGUGCCGGAGGACAGACACAUUUCUCCACAUGGUUUACAGCAAUUAUUUGGUAGGGUGUCACAGCCAUGGAUGGACUUGAGAAAGUAUCACAUGCCAUGUGUUUUGUUUUUGGACUGAUCGUUGUUUUAAAUAUGGAGUACCUCUUCACAGCUUAUUUUGAGUUGAUUCACAGGGUUUUUCUUUCCCUGGGGCACAAAUCACUAAAGUCAAAACUGCCAUCACUACAAAACAUACUAAUGUGAAGUAGUGUGUUUUGUGUGAAACAAGUCCGUGUUACUGUAGAUCUGUUGCAUUUUGGGGUUUUUAUUUUUCGUCAACCUGGAUACAAGUUCCAGAAAAACUCAACUUUAAUUGCUGCAAAACUUUGAUGUUUUAGUUAAGCUGUAUUUUGCGUGUUUCUGAUGGCAGAAACAAGAUUGUUACUGUAGGUCUGUUGAUGCAAUUUGUGAUUUUUUAUCAGUCACAUGACAACCUGGAUACAAAACCAAAACUGCAGUCACUAAAAAAAAACUAGUUUUGAAUUUGUUUGUCAAGGUGUGUUCAUUGUGUUUGUAAUAACAGAAACAAGACUGUCUUAGGUCUAUUGUUGCAUUUUGGGUAUCCAGAUUGAUGGGUGACUGAACACAAACCCCUUUCGUGUGUGUGUGUGUGUGUGUGUGUGUGUGUGUGUGUGUGUGUGUGUGUGUGUGUGUGUGUGUGUGUGCGUGCGUGCGACAAAAAUGUUUUACUUUGUACACUGUUAAC